GAGUAACACGUAGGUGACCUACCCUGGAGAGGGGGACAACCAGUGGAAACGCUGGCUAAUACCCCAGAUGUCAAUAUAGUUAGAGAGUAUAGACUAAAGGAUGUCAACAGACAGACCGCUCCAGGAGGGGCCUGCGACCCAUCAGCUAGUUGGUAGGGUAACGGCCUACCAAGGCGAAGACGGGUAGGGGGCGUGAGAGCGCGACCCCCCACACUGGUACUGACACACGGACCAGAUACCUACGGGUAGCAGCAGCAAGGAAUAUUGCGCAAUGGGCGAAAGCCUGACGCAGCAACGCCGCGUGGAGGAAGAAGACCUUCGGGUUGUAAACUCCUUUUCUGGGGGAAGAGGAAGGACGGUACCCCAGGAAUAAGGCCCGGCUAACUACGUGCCAGCAGCCGCGGUAAAGCGUAGGGGUCAAGCGUUAUCCGGAAUUACUGGGCGUAAAGCGCGUGUAGGCGGUUGCGUAAGUCGGACGUGAAAGCUCCUGGCUCAACUGGGAGAGGCCGUUCGAAACUAGGUAACUAGAGGGUGGUAGAGGCAAGUGGAAUUCCCGGUGUAGUGGUGAAAUGCGUAGAUAUCGGGAGGAACACCAGUGGCGAAGGCGGCUUGCUGGGCCAACCCUGACGCUGAGAUGCGAAAGCUAGGGGAGAGAACGGGAUUAGAAACCCCGGUAUUCCUAGCCGUAAACGAUGUCAACUAGGUGUAGGUGGUUAUUGACCCCAUCUGUACUGUAGCAAACGCGUUAAGUUGACCGCCUGGGGAAUACGGCCGCAAGGCUAAAACUCAAAGGAAUUGACGGGGACCCGCACAAGCAGCGGAGCGUGUGGUUUAAUUCGAGGCUACGCGAAGAACCUUACCAGGGUUUGACAUAUGCGUGGUAGGGAGUCGAAAGAGGACCGACCCUUCGGGGAGCGCAUACAGGUGCUGCAUGGCUGUCGUCAGCUCGUGCCG
rnacentral:rRNA from 1 species